UGCCGCCAAGUGUCCGACCUCC
rnacentral:miRNA from 1 species